rnacentral:lncRNA from 13 species
CGGCCGUUGCCAUCAGCCUGCUCCGAGGAAGUCACUGCGAGAAGCGGUCGCCGCCGCCGCCGUCAUCGUCGUCGUCGACGUCGUCGCCGCUCGCCCGUAUGUAUGUAUGUAGCAGCGAAGAAAUUAGGCUACCACUGUCUCAAACUUGAGUUCACAUGAGAUUCUUGAAAAUUCCUCUAUUUGACUUGAUAAGUUUGAGUGCUGCUGAAUAAAAGUGUCAAUAACUCUG